rnacentral:rRNA from 1 species
AGACGGAGGGGGCUAGCGUUGUUCGGAUUUACUGGGCGUAAAGCGCGCGUAGGCGGUAUAUCAAGUUAGGCGUGAAAGCCCCGGGCUCAACCCGGGAACUGCGCUUAUUACUGAUAAACUAGAGUCCGGGAGAGGGUGGCGGAAUUCCCAGUGUAGAGGUGAAAUUCGUAGAUAUUGGGAAGAACACCAGUUGCGAAGGCGGCCACCUGAACCGGUACUGACGCUGAGGUGCGAAAGCGUGGGGAGCAAACAGGAUUAGAAACCCCUGUAGUCC